GGCUAGUUCAAUCAAGGAACUGGAUUUUUUUAGUAUUAACUAAUUUAAAGUUAAGUUUAAAUAGCCACAUGAGCUGCAAGAUGCUGUAUUGAAUAGUACAGUUCUAGAGUGUUAUUGAUAAAGCCUUCUUGAGAAUUUUAACUCAUAUAUUUAUACAUAUUCAUUUAUUAUAUCUAUAAAUAUUUACUGGGUUCUUUAUUUGUUCCAGGCACUGAGAAAAUAAUGGUCAGCAAUGCUAUCAGAGGCCCUACCUUCACAGAGUUUUCAUAGUCUCAUGGAAUAGACACCAAUCAAAUAAUCAUAUAGCUGGUGGGAAUUAAAACUAAAGAUUAGAGUUUAUCCCAUGUGGCUGACUUCUGUGAGGAUAACCAGGCUUUACAACAUCUUUAAAGUCUUCUGAUGUCCCCCAAGGAAAUGACCUGUGACCUGGGAUCUGAAAAACAUUUGGUCUUAUGAAAGGAAUGGAUUUUGUCAGUUGACACUACAGAGAUCAAACAGGGAACCUCAGAGUUCUCACUUCCAACAGCUGCCAUGUGACCAACAUGGAAACCAAGAAAGGAAAAAAGGAAGCUAAGGAUGAGGGCAGGCCAAGAUUUCCCUUUCCUUUCUGAGUUCCUCUUCUAGCACAUGAAACUGUGGAAGCAAGAUUGAGUGACAUCAACAUCUUUAGUGAAAAGGAAACAGAAAUGAAUGGAAUUAAGAGCCUGCAUCUACCUGAGUCAGCAAAUGCAGUGUGGGCAUCCUGUAGCUAACUUCAUGGAAGCAUCACCUGGAUUCAGCCUCAGGUCAAAUGUUUAAAAAGUGAGUGAGGCUUCUUCAUUUUAUCUUCCCCAACCACAAGAUGGAAAUAAACUGGGUCUUUGAAUGAUGAAGAAAGCUGCCUACACCCAAGAAAUACUAGCAUUGAAUUAUUAUAUAAGUGGGAAAAAAUUACAUUGUUUAGUAGACUGUAUUACUGAAGAACAAAUCAUUAAGCCAGUGGACCACCCUUUUGCUUUAUUGAGUGUUGGACUUCUCCUGUCAAAGUUCUUGGCAGACUCUGAAGAGGAUGAUGCCAUCCAUCUCAAGGAAGACUCUGAAGCCAUGCCCUAGGAUCACGGGAACCUUGCUGAGAAUCACUAAUGAUGUCUGCUUUUGGAGAAGACUGGAUGACGAAGAAGAAAGAUUCACCCUUUAGUGCUGCGUGAGAUUUUAUUUAAACUUCACAUGGAGAUUGCAGACCUAAAAAAAGCCUUAAGUUCAGCUUAGUUUUACAUAUAAAAAUAUUUUAAAAGUUUUGUAAAAACACAGUCCAAUGAUAAAUCCCUU
rnacentral:lncRNA from 1 species